rnacentral:rRNA from 1 species
CCCUUAGAUGUUCUGGGCCGCACGCGCGCUACACUGAAGGGAUCAGCGUGUUUUCCCUUUCCGAGAGGAACGGGUAACCCGCUGAACCCCCUUCGUGGUAGGGAUCGGAGCUUGCAAUUGUUCUCCGUGAACCAGGAAUUCCCAGUAAGCGCAAGUCAUAAGCUUGCGUUGAUUACGUCCCUGCCCUUUGUACACACCGCCCGUCGCUCCUACCGAUUGAGUGGUCCGGUGAGGCUUUGGGAUCUGAGCGGAAAGAGCGUUUCGCUGUUUCUGCUCGGAAAACUCAGUCGAACCUUAUCAUUUAGAGGAAGGAGAAGUCGUAACA